rnacentral:miRNA from 1 species
AUAGUGUGUGUAUAUGUGUGUGUGUGUGUGUGUGUGUGUGUAUAUAUAUAUAUAUAUACACACACACACACACACACACACACAUACAUAUA